CAAGACGUAGCUUAAAUAAAGCAUCUCGCUUACACCGAAAAAAUGCCCAUUGAAUCUGGGCCAUCUUGA
rnacentral:tRNA from 1 species